UACGGGGGGGGCAAGCGUUGUUCGGAAUUAUUGGGCGUAAAGGGCGCGUAGGCGGCGUGGUAAGUCAGUUGUGAAAUCCCUCGGCUCAACCGAGGAAUUGCGUCUGAGACUGCCAUGCUUGAGUCCCGGAGAGGGUAGCGGAAUUCCCAGUGUAGCGGUGAAAUGCGUAGAUAUUGGGAGGAACACCAGUGGCGAAGGCGGCUACCUGGACGGGCACUGACGCUGAGGCGCGAAAGCGUGGGGAGCAAACAGG
rnacentral:rRNA from 1 species